rnacentral:rRNA from 1 species
CCCAGUUCGGACUGUAGUCUGCAACCCGACUACACGAAGCUGGAAUCGCUAGUAAUCGCGAAUCAGAAUGUCGCGGUGAAUACGUUCCCGGGUCUUGUACACACCGCCCGUCACACCAUGGGAGUCGGGAAUGCCCGAAGUCAGUGACCCAACCAAAUGGAGGGAGCUGCCGAAGGCAGGUCUGAUAACUGGGGUGAAGUCGUAACAAGGUAGC